UACGGAAGGUCCGGGCGUUAUCCGGAUUUAUUGGGUUUAAAGGGAGCGCAGGCGGGAUUUUAAGCGUGACGUGAAAUGUACCGGCUCAACCGGUGAUGUGCGUCGCGAACUGGGAUUCUUGAGUGAGUACGACGUUGGCGGAAUUCGUGGUGUAGCGGUGAAAUGCUUAGAUAUCACGAAGAACCCCGAUUGCGAAGGCAGCCGACGAGUCCUCAACUGACGCUAAUGCUCGAAAGUGCGGGUAU
rnacentral:rRNA from 1 species